UACGGGGGGGGCAAGCGUUGUUCGGAAUUACUGGGCGUAAAGGGCGCGUAGGCGGUUCGUACAGUCAGACGUGAAAUUCCUGGGCUCAACCUGGGGGCUGCGUUUGAUACGGGCGGACUUGAGUGCGGAAGAGGGUCGUGGAAUUCCCAGUGUAGAGGUGAAAUUCGUAGAUAUUGGGAAGAACACCGGUGGCGAAGGCGGCGACCUGGUCCGAUACUGACGCUGAGGCGCGAAAGCGUGGGGAGCAAACAGG
rnacentral:rRNA from 1 species